rnacentral:rRNA from 1 species
UACGUAGGGCGCAAGCGUUGUCCGGAAUUAUUGGGCGUAAAGAGCUCGUAGGCGGUCUGUCACGUCUGCUGUGAAAACUCAGGGCUUAACCCUGAGCUUGCAGUGGGUACGGGCAGACUAGAGUGCGGUAGGGGAGACUGGAAUUCCUGGUGUAGCGGUGAAAUGCGCAGAUAUCAGGAGGAACACCGGUGGCGAAGGCGGGUCUCUGGGCCGGAACUGACGCUAAGGAGCGAAAGCGUGGGGAGCGAACAGG